rnacentral:rRNA from 1 species
CCUACGGGAGGCAGCAGUGGGGAAUAUUGGACAAUGGGCGCAAGCCUGAUCCAGCCAUGCCGCGUGAGUGAUGAAGGCCUUAGGGUUGUAAAGCUCUUUUACCCGGGAAGAUAAUGACGGUACCGGGAGAAUAAGCCCCGGCUAACUUCGUGCCAGCAGCCGCGGUGAU